rnacentral:rRNA from 1 species
UACGAAGGGGGCUAGCGUUGUUCGGAAUUACUGGGCGUAAAGCGCACGUAGGCGGAUCUUUAAGUCAGGGGUGAAAUCCCGAGGCUCAACCUCGGAACUGCCUUUGAUACUGGGGAUCUCGAGUCCGGGAGAGGUGAGUGGAACUGCGAGUGUAGAGGUGAAAUUCGUAGAUAUUCGCAAGAACACCAGUGGCGAAGGCGGCUCACUGGCCCGGAACUGACGCUGAGGUGCGAAAGCGUGGGGAGCAAACAGGG